UACAGAGGGGGCAAGCGUUGUUCGGAAUUACUGGGCGUAAAGGGCGCGUAGGCGGCCUGCUAAGUCGAACGUGAAAUCCCCGGGCUCAACCCGGGAACUGCGUCCGAUACUGGCAGGCUUGAAUUCGGGAGAGGGAUGCGGAAUUCCAGGUGUAGCGGUGAAAUGCGUAGAUAUCUGGAGGAACACCGGUGGCGAAGGCGGCAUCCUGGACCGAAAUUGACGCUGAGGCGCGAAAGCUAGGGGAGCGAACGGG
rnacentral:rRNA from 1 species